UAAUUGAAGAGUUUGAUCAUGGCUCAGAUUGAACGCUGGCGGUAGGCUUAACACAUGCAAGUCGUGCGAGAAAGUAUCUUCGGAUAUGAUUAGAGCGGCGGACGGGUGAGUAACGCGUAGGAAUCUACCUAGUAGAAGGGGAUAGCCCGAGGAAACUCGGAUUAAUACCGUAUACCUCCUUCGGGAGAAAGAAGGCCUCUCUUUGAAGCUUUCGCUACUAGAUGAGCCUGCGUAAGAUUAGCUUGUUGGUGAGGUAAAGGCUCACCAAGGCGACGAUCUUUAGCGGGUCUGAGAGGACGAUCCGCCACAUUGGGACUGAGACACGGCCCAGACUCCUACGGGAGGCAGCAGUGGGGAA
rnacentral:rRNA from 1 species